AUGGAACUCACUCGCCUGAGACUCGUCCUACUCUGCGCCGGAUUGCCACUGCUCCUCUUCUCGCGUUCAGAGGCAGGCGAGGUGGGCGUGUGCUACGGCAGGAACGGGAACAACCUGAUGGACCCAGCGUCGGUGGUGCAGCUGCUGAAGAAGAAUGGCAUCACGUCGGUGAGGGUGUACGACACCGACCAGGGCGUGCUGGACGCGAUGAAGAACAGCGGCAUAAAGAUGGUGGUGGCGGUACCCAACGAGAUGCUCCCGUCCGCGGCCGGGGACCCAGACUGGGCCAUCCAGUGGGCCAACAACAACCUGUUGCCCUACUACCCUGCCACGGAUAUCCGUGGCGUCACGGUAGGGAACGAGGUCUUCAAGCAGGCAAACGAGCAUACGUCGCACCUCGUCCCGGCCAUGAGGAAUGUCCAGGCGGCGCUGGCUGGCCUGGGCCUGGCCGACGCCGUGAAGGUGACGACCCCGAUUGCGUUGGAUGCGCUGAAGGUGUCGUUCCCGCCAUCCGAAGGUGAGUUCAAGGACGACAUCGCGCAGUCGGUGAUGAGUCCCAUGAUUGACUUCUUGGCGCAGACAGGCUCGUACCUCAUGGUCAACAUCUACCCGUACUACGCGUAUUCGUCGUCCAAUGGCGCCAUGGACAUUAACUACGUGACCUUCCGCCCCAACGGCGGCGUGGUCGACAGUCGGGCCGGCCUCACCUACUAUAGCCUAUAUGAAACCCAGCUCGACGCUGUGUAUUAUGCGAUGGAGAGGCUGGGCUCCUCCAGCUCCAGGAACCACACUAAGAAGAUGAGAAUGCUCAGGGGAAGGCGUGGCCCGAAGCCCAAGGUGCCCGCAAUAGGCGGGGAGUCGAGCCCGGGAGGGUGCGCCUACUGCCCACAGAGCCUGGGCUUCACAAAGGCGGACGCCCAGGCCUACACCAAUAACCUCAUCAAACUUGCGCUCUCCGGCGCCGGCACCCCGCACCGCCCUGAAUUCGACAUCUCCGUAUACAUCUUCGAACUUUUCAACGAGAACGAGAAGCCGACUGUGGAGGAGCAAAACUACGGCCUGUUCUACCCGAACGGCCAGCCGGUGUAUCAGGUCGACUUCGGGGCCGGCGACAAGUCCAGCAGCUGGUGCGAGGCGAACGCAGCGGUCGGGGACGCACGCCUCCAGGCGGCGCUGGACUGGGCGUGCGGCCACGGGGCAGACUGCAGCGCCAUCCAGCCCGGGAAGCCAUGCUACGAGCCCGACACCAAGGUGGCGCACGCCACCUACGCCUUCAACGACUACUACCAGCGCAAGGGCCGGGCCAGCGGGACGUGCGACUUCUCCGGCGCCGCUUCCAUUGUCUACCGGCAACCAGCAGGCACCUGCGACCCCAAGGCAGCGAGCUGGUGCGUGGCGAACGCGGCGGUCGGGGACGCUCGGCUCCAGGCGGCGCUGGACUGGGCGUGUGGCCAUGGGGCGGACUGCAGCGCCAUCCAGCCCGGCGCGCGGUGCUUUGAUCCUGACACAAAGGUUGCGCACGCGUCUUACGCAUUCAACGACUACUACCAGCGCAACGGGCGGUCUGGCAGCUCAUGCCAUUUUGGCGGAGCCGGCUCCGUUGUUCAUCAGGCACCAAAGAUCGGAAACUGCGUGCUGCGGUCAAGGGCCUGA
rnacentral:rRNA from 1 species